GACUACUUAAACAAACAAAACCAGAUCACCACCUGUAACAACACCAAACAAACAAAACCAAGAACUAGGAAAAUGAGGAAAAAAUAUCUGACUGAGUGAAAAUUAU
rnacentral:lncRNA from 1 species